rnacentral:rRNA from 2 species
GUUGGGUAGGGGAGCGUUCUGUAAGCCUGCGAAGGUGGCCUGUGAGGGUUGCUGGAGGUAUCAGAAGUGCGAAUGCUGACAUAAGUAACGAUAAAGCGGGUGAAAAGCCCGCUCGCCGGAAGACCAAGGGUUCCUGUCCAACGUUAAUCGGGGCAGGGUGAGUCGACCCCUAAGGCGAGGCCGAAAGGCGUAGUCGAUGGGAAACGGGUUAAUAUUCCCGUACUUGGUGUUACUGCGAAGGGGGGACGGAGAAGGCUAUGUUGGCCGGGCGACGGUUGUCCCGGUUUAAGCGUGUAGGUGUGUGUUCCAGGUAAAUCCGGUUCACUUUAACACUGAGGCGUGACGACGAGGCACUACGGUGCUGAAGCAACAAAUGCCCUGCUUCCAGGAAAAGCCUCUAAGCAUCAGGUAACAUCAAAUCGUACCCCAAACCGACACAGGUGGUCAGGUAGAGAAUACCAAGGCGCUUGAGAGAACUCGGGUGAAGGAACUAGGCAAAAUGGUGCCGUAACUUCGGGAGAAGGCACGCUGACACGUAGGUGAAGUGAUUUACUCAUGGAGCUGAAGUCAGUCGAAGAUACCAGCUGGCUGCAACUGUUUAUUAAAAACACAGCACUGUGCAAACACGAAAGUGGACGUAUACGGUGUGACGCCUGCCCGGUGCCGGAAGGUUAAUUGAUGGGGUCAGCGCAAGCGAAGCUCCUGAUCGAAGCCCCGGUAAACGGCGGCCGUAACUAUAACGGUCCUAAGGUAGCGAAAUUCCUUGUCGGGUAAGUUCCGACCUGCACGAAUGGCGUAAUGAUGGCCAGGCUGUCUCCACCCGAGACUCAGUGAAAUUGAACUCGCUGUGAAGAUGCAGUGUACCCGCGGCAAGACGGAAAGACCCCGUGAACCUUUACUAUAGCUUGACACUGAACAUUGAGCCUUGAUGUGUAGGAUAGGUGGGAGGCUUUGAAGUGUGGACGCCAGUCUGCAUGGAGCCGACCUUGAAAUACCACCCUUUAAUGUUUGAUGUUCUAACGUGGACCCGUAAUCCGGGUUGCGGACAGUGUCUGGUGGGUAGUUUGACUGGGGCGGUCUCCUCCUAAAGAGUAACGGAGGAGCACGAAGGUUGGCUAAUCCUGGUCGGACAUCAGGAGGUUAGUGCAAUGGCAUAAGCCAGCUUGACUGCGAGCGUGACGGCGCGAGCAGGUGCGAAAGCAGGUCAUAGUGAUCCGGUGGUUCUGAAUGGAAGGGCCAUCGCUCAACGGAUAAAAGGUACUCCGGGGAUAACAGGCUGAUACCGCCCAAGAGUUCAUAUCGACGGCGGUGUUUGGCACCUCGAUGUCGGCUCAUCACAUCCUGGGGCUGAAGUAGGUCCCAAGGGUAUGGCUGUUCGCCAUUUAAAGUGGUACGCGAGCUGGGUUUAGAACGUCGUGAGACAGUUCGGUCCCUAUCUGCCGUGGGCGCUGGAGAACUGAGGGGGGCUGCUCCUAGUACGAGAGGACCGGAGUGGACGCAUCACUGGUGUUCGGGUUGUCAUGCCAAUGGCACUGCCCGGUAGCUAAAUGCGGAAGAGAUAAGUGCUGAAAGCAUCUAAGCACGAAACUUGCCCCGAGAUGAGUUCUCCCUGAGACUU